AGCGAACGCUGGCGGCAGGCCUAACACAUGCAAGUCGAACGAACCUUUCGGGGUUAGUGGCGGACGGGUGAGGAACACGGGGGAACGUGCCGUUAGGUUCGGAAUAACUCAGGGAAACUUGUGCUAAUACCGAAUGUGCCCUUCGGGGGAAAGAUUAAUCGCCUUUAGAGCGGCCCGCGUCCGAUUAGCUAGUUGGUUGAGGUAAUGGCUCACCAAGGCGACGAUCAGUAGCUGGUCUGAGAGGAUGAUCAGCCACAUUGGGACUGGGACACGGCCCAAACUCCUACGGGAGGCAGCAGUGGGUAAUCUUGCGCAAUGGGCGAAAGCCUGACGCAGCCAUGCCGCGUGAAUGAUUAAGGUCUUAGGAUUGUAAAAUUCUUUCACCGGGGACGAUAAUGACGGUACCCGGAGAAGAAGCCCCGGCUAACUUCGUG
rnacentral:rRNA from 1 species